rnacentral:rRNA from 1 species
AGAGUUUGAUCCUGGCUCAGGACGAACGCUGGCGGCGUGCUUAACACAUGCAAGUCGAACGAGAAUCUGUGGAUCGAGGAUUCGUCCAAGUGAAGCAGAGGACAGUGGCGGACGGGUGAGUAACGCGUGAGGAACCUGCCUUUCAGAGGGGGACAACAGUUGGAAACGACUGCUAAUACCGCAUGAUACGUUUUGGGGGCAUCCCCGAGACGUCAAAGAUUUAUCGCUGAAAGAUGGCCUCGCGUCUGAUUAGCUGGUUGGUGAGGUAACGGCCCACCAAGGCGACGAUCAGUAGCCGGACUGAGAGGUUGACCGGCCACAUUGGGACUGAGAUACGGCCCAGACUCCUACGGGAGGCAGCAGUGGGGAAUAUUGGGCAAUGGGCGAAAGCCUGACCCAGCAACGCCGCGUGAAGGAAGAAGGCCUUCGGGUUGUAAACUUCUUUUAAGAGGGACGAAGAAGUGACGGUACCUCUUGAAUAAGCCACGGCUAACUACGUGCCAGCAGCCGCGGUAAUACGUAGGUGGCGAGCGUUAUCCGGAAUGAUUGGGCGUAAAGGGUGCGUAGGUGGCAGAUCAAGUCUGGAGUAAAAGGUAUGGGCUCAACCCGUACUGGCUCUGGAAACUGAUCAGCUAGAGAACAGAAGAGGACGGCGGAACUCCAUGUGUAGCGGUAAAAUGCGUAGAUAUAUGGAAGAACACCGGUGGCGAAGGCGGCCGUCUGGUCUGGAUUCUGACACUGAAGCACGAAAGCGUGGGGAGCAAAUAGGAUUAGAUACCCUAGUAGUCCACGCCGUAAACGAUGAGUACUAAGUGUUGGGGUUACCCAGUGCUGAAGCUAACGUAUUAAGUACUCCGCCUGAGUAGUACGGUCGCAAGGCUGAAACUCAAAGGAAUUGACGGGGACCCGCACAAGCGGUGGAGCAUGCUGUUUAAUUCGACGAUACGCGAAGAACCUUACCUAGACUUGACAUCCCUGGCAAAGCUAUAGAAAUAUAGUGGAGGUCAUCCAGGUGACAGGUGGUGCAUGGUUGUCGUCAGCUCGUGUCGUGAGAUGUUCGGUUAAGUCCGCUAACGAGCGCAACCCUUAUCCUUAGUUGCUAACAUUAAGUUGAGAACCCUAAGGAGACUGCCGGUGACAAACCGGAGGAAGGUGGGGAUGACGUCAAAUCAUCAUGCCCCUUACGUCUAGGGCUACAGGCGUGCUAUAAUGGCCGAUACAAUAAGAAGCAAUACUGUGAAGUGGAGCAAAUCUGUAAAGUCGGUCUCAGUUCGGAUUGAAGUCUGCAACUCGACUUCAUGAAGCUAGAAUCGCUAGUAAUCCCAAAUCAGAAUGUUGGGGUGAAUACGUUCCCGGGUGUUGUACACACCGCCCGUCAUGCCAUGAAAGUUUGUAAUACCCGAAUGUGGUAGCCUAACCUUUUAGGAGGGGGCCAUUUAAGGUAGGACAAGUGAUUGGGGUAAAGUCGUAACAAGGUAUCCCUACGAGAACGUGGGGAUG